UACUCUAAAUGGUUUCCCUCUGUCAUUGUUAGAUUCAGUUGAAAGUGACGGUGCAAAUACAGCUGCCAAUGAGGAUUCUCUGGAAAGUGAUAAUGACAAUCACUCUGAAAGUGCCAGUGAUGACUCACUUGAACACGAUCCUGAAAAUGACCCGGAAUACACACCUGUCAAUGAUGGUGAGUAACUUAUUGUCAAUUUGUUUUUUUGCAUUUCUGUCAGCUACUAAUGGUCUCAGCCACACACACACACACACACACACACACACACACACACACACACACACACACACACACACACACACACACACACACACACACACACACACACACACACACACACACACACACACACACACACCACAGCAAUGCCAAACUUUAAUGCAUGCCUACACACUGACACACAUACUUCCACAUGCUAAGAAACCAUGUAAGAGAAAUGUGAAUUUGUGAAACAUGUUUUCUUUUGUUUUUCUUUUACAGUUUUUUACGAUACAAUAAACACUAAAAUCUAAAGUUUU
rnacentral:lncRNA from 1 species